GAUGAAAACGAGUAAGGCGACACACGUGGUAUGUUGUCUGAAGAUGGGGGGACCAUCCUCCAAGGCUAAAUACUCCUGACUGACCGAUAGUGAACCAGUACCGUGAGGGAAAGGCGAAAAGAACCCCAGUGAGGGGAGUGAAAUAGAACCUGAAACCGUAUACGUACAAGCAGUGGGAGCGGUCCUUGAGACCGUGACUGCGUACCUUUUGUAUAAUG
rnacentral:rRNA from 1 species